GGGGAAACUUUGAGUGCAGAAGAGGAGAGUGGAAUUCCACGUGUAGCGGUGAAAUGCGUAGAGAUGUGGAGGAACACCAGUGGCGAAGGCGACUCUCUGGUCUGUAACUGACGCUGAGGAGCGAAAGCGUGGGGAGCGAACAGGAUUAGAUACCCUGGUAGUCCACGCCGUAAACGAUGAGUGCUAAGUGUUAGGGGGUUUCCGCCCCUUAGUGCUGCAGCUAACGCAUUAAGCACUCCGCCUGGGGAGUACGGUCGCAAGACUGAAACUCAAAGGAAUUGACGGGGGCCCGCACAAGCGGUGGAGCAUGUGGUUUAAUUCGAAGCAACGCGAAGAACCUUACCAGGUCUUGACAUCCUCUGACAAUCCUAGAGAUAGGACGUCCCCUUCGGGGGCAGAGUGACAGGUGGUGCAUGGUUGUCGUCAGCUCGUGUCGUGAGAUGUUGGGUUAAGUCCCGCAACGAGCGCAACCCUUGAUCUUAGUUGCCAGCAUUCAGUUGGGCACUCUAAGGUGACUGCCGGUGACAAACCGGAGGAAGGUGGGGGAUGACGUCAAAUCAUCAUGCCCCUUAUGACCUGGGCUACACACGUGCUACAAUGGACAGAACAAAGGGCAGCGAAACCGCGAGGUUAAGCCAAUCCCACAAAUCUGUUCUCAGUUCGGAUCGCAGUCUGCAACUCGACUGCGUGAAGCUGGAAUCGCUAGUAAUCGCGGAUCAGCAUGCCGCGGUGAAU
rnacentral:rRNA from 1 species